CAUGAAGACAAUAUUCAUUUUCCUUUUUGUGUUUAAAGUUUCCCUGCAAGUUAACGUAAAAAAUGAAACUUUGUGUGAAGGAAGACCAAGUCCAUGCUGUGCCGGCUAUAUGUUGAGUACAAAUUCUGGCUCAUGUGUAGCAUGUUCGUUGGGAUACUUUGGACCUAAGUGCAAAUGGCAAUGUCCCUAUCCCCAGUUUGGA